UACAGACAGUGCGAGUGUUAUUCGUCUUUAUUGGGCGUAAAGAGCGUGUAGGCGGUUUGGUAGGUCCGCUGUGAAAACUCGAGGCUCAACCUCGAGACGCCGGUGGAAACCAUCAGACUAGAGUCCGGAAGAGGAGAGUGGAAUUCCUGGUGUAGCGGUGAAAUGCGCAGAUAUCAGGAAGAACACCCGUGGCUAAGGCGGCUCUCUAGUACGGUACUGACGCUGAGACGCGAAAGCGUGGGGGAGCGAACAGG
rnacentral:rRNA from 1 species